GAGCACGUAGGUGGGUUUGUAAGUCAGCUGUGAAAGCCUUCUGCUUAACGGAAGAACAGCAGUUGAAACUACAGUGCUUGAGUGCGGGAGGGGAGAGUGGAACUUCUGGUGGAGCGGUGAAAUGCGCAGAUAUCAGAAGGAACGCCGGCGGCGAAAGCGGCUCUCUGGCCCGUAACUGACGCUGAGUGUGCGAAAGCUAGGGGAGCAAACGGGAUUAGAUACCCCGGUAGUCCUAGCCGUAAACGAUGGGCACUAAGUAGAGGGGUUUU
rnacentral:rRNA from 1 species